AGAGAGAAAGGAAGGAGAGGAAAACUGGCAGGCAGACUGGAUGACUCUGGGGAGAAGAGAGGAGGGAGGGAGGGGAGAAGGAGGGAGGGAGAUGGGAGGUAAAGAACAAGGAGGGAGGGAGAUGGGAGGUAAAGAACAAGGAGGGAGGGAGAUGGGAGGUAAAGAGGAAGGGAGUCUGGAGAGAAUGCAAAGUGAGGGAGAUGGAUAGAUGUAAAGUGGAAGAGAGGGAGAAGGGAGAGUGAGGAGAUAUGAGGGAGAGAGAGCAGGCAGAGUGAGGGAGAGAGAGAGAGCAGGCAGAGUGAGGGAGAGAGAGAGAGCAGGCAGAGUGAGGGAGAUGUAGAGAGAGCAGGCAGAGUGAGGGAGGGAGAGAGACCAGGCAGAGUGAGGGAGGGAGAGAGAGCAGGCAGAGUGAGGGAGGGAGAGAGAGCAGGCAGAGUGAGGGAGAUGUAGGGAGAGAGAGCAGGCAGAGUGAGGGAGAUGUAGGGAGAGAGAGCAGGCAGAGUGAGGGAGAUAGAGCAGGCAGAGA
ensembl:lncRNA